rnacentral:misc_RNA from 1 species
AAAAGUACGCUUAACAGUAUACAUAUAUGUAAUAGCAUGGCAUCUUGCUUACUUAUCACGUUCACAAUGUCAGUAAAUAAAAAAACAACCGCUAAUUCAGUGAGCAGUAAAUAGUAAAUACGCGGUAAGUUGUGUACGACGGACCUCCUUUUUUGCUUCAAUGACAGUGGUUUAUGACCCUGGAUGGUAAACACUAUUGUAUCAGCUGACGUUUUCUGGGUCAAGGUAACCAAGCAGCUGGUUGUUUGCAUGCACUUUGCAUGAAAAGCUCUCUACAGAUAAGUCAGUAUUUCAAAAAAAGACUUCAACAGGACGUAUUUAGCAUUGUGAAAUAUAACGGAAGCAUGAUGGUUUAAUAACUUGCUUUGGAGAUUUCUGAUCGGAAAGGGCAUCAUUUCAGUCACUACAUUAUUGCAACGGUAGACACGUAUAGACACAAUGUCUCACAUCGACGAUAUUACCCUUCCCAACGCACCACUUACACGGAGCUACCUGUAUGGGGCGCCUAAAACACCCCUUGUGGACAUGACAUUAGCCGAGGCCCUCAAUAAAACAACAGAGAAAUAUCCUGAGAAAAUUGCUAUAACGUAUCUUGAUCCUACCCAAGAAACAUCACACUCUAUGACAUUUCUAGAAUGGCAGAAAAGUUCCAAGAAUCUUGCGGCAUCGUUGAAAAAGAUGGGGAUCACCUCAAGGCAUCAUGUGGCUAUAUUAGCUCCUAACUGUAAAGAGUUUUUGAUCGCUACAUGGGGUCUAUUCUACAUAGGCGCUACCGCUGUCUUCCUUAGCCACGAAUUAAAGAGCGGAGAAGAUAUUCUAGGGAAACUCAAGGCAACCAAGUGUAAAGGCUUGAUCAUUUUUAAUGAUGAUGGGCCCAUGGUCUCCAGUAUAAUAGAAACAAUCUUAUUCGAUCCAAAAUGCCGAGUCCCGACACGUUUCAUCGUUACGAUCGGUCAGAGUACCCACGAUGGUAUCCACAGUCUACAGACAUUGAUAAAUAGCGCCAGGGAGGCGGAUUUGAGCAAUUUAGAGAGAGCAACAGGGGGAAAUCUUAGUGGAAACAACGACGCUAUCGUCUGCUUUACUGCCGGAACAACAGGCAACCCUAAAGCUGUCCCACUCAAUCACGUUAGCUUGAUUAAUGCUUUCACUUUCAUUUUGAGGAGAUUCGGAAUCGAUGACCAACAGGUGUUUUUCAACGAUCGUCCUUUGACAUGGCUCGGUGGCUUCUUGUCUCCCCUCUGCGCGGUUCUGUUUGGCGCUAGAGUAGUUUCUGUGGAUACAUCUAAGACUGUCAAUCAGCACGACACGGAGUUUAUCCUGGGUACGAUGAAUCGUGAAGAUGUCACCCAUGCAAUGACAUUGCCGUAUUUGUUAUAUGAUAUUGUUCACUUUGGAGAAAAAUCAGAAUACAAACUUCGUCAUCUAAAAGCUAUAUUUGUGAGUGGACAAAUGGUCCCGAGUAAUCUUGUAGCUGAUAUGAUAGCAGCUUACCCAAAUAUAACUGCCUUUAAUGCCUAUGGUAACACAGAAACAUCUGGCCCUAUAGUAACGAUCUUCGCCGGUGAAAAUCUAAUGCAAGAUGGUUCUGUCACCGUUGGUCUUCCUAUACCACAUUGUGAGGUCAAGAUCAUUGACAGUAAUGAUAAAAUCACCCCUAUCAAUGAAUCGGGUGAGGUCUGUUUAAGAGGUCCAAACUGGGUCAGUAGACCGUAUCGAGAUUCUGAAGGAUGGUUUCGCACUGGAGAUAUAGGUAAAAUGUCUACCAAUGGAAGACUAUUUAUUCUUGGUAGAUGCAAAGACAUGAUCAAAAGAGGCACACGCUCAAUACUCCCUUCGUACUUGGAGACCGUCAUAGCGACGCAUCCUAGCGUAGAAAGCGUAUGUGUGGUCGGUGUCCCAGACGAGAGGCUAUACGAGGAGAUAUGUGCCUGUAUCGUUGUGAAAGCUGGUGCCACUCUCACUGCUGAGGAUAUGACGAGCUGGUGUGACGAAGUGUUCGCUGCUGAAGGCACAGCAGAUGGCAUGAGUAUGGCACCGAAAUAUUUUAUAUUUGUGGACAGUCUCCCUGUUGCAACAAUAGGGAAGAUUGAUAGAAAGAACUUAUGGGACCACGCUGUCACAACCCUAGGCAUACAAGUGCGUCAAUAGCUAGGCAUACACGUGCGUCAAUAACUAGGCAUACACAUGUGUCAAUGACUUGAUAUACAAGUGUGUCAAUUACUAGGCAUACAAGUACAUGUCGAAAAAAGGAAUAAAAAAUGUACAUAAAGACUGUGUCAGAUUGACACAAUUCGUUUGGUACUACAUUUACUCUGCAUAUCUUGUAUAGGUGGCAAUAUACAUGUAGGAAUUAAUAAAUGAUAUUUAUAUAAUCGCUCUAACUGUGCUAUACAGAUGAUUUUUCAAAAUAGAUGGCAAUUUGAAGAUUAUUCGUUUAACUGAUAUUGAUCAUGAUUAAAUACAUUUUUCAAUAUAUUUGAUCCAACAGAAAGUCUGUUGUUGAUGUACAACAUGUGCCCGCAAUAACAAUUACGAUUGUUAUAGAAAAAAUUUCAUGUAAAAGUGUACUUUUACCAGAAGACAAAUAUGUGAGAUAAAUAAAAAAAGUGUUUUAGUUCUUGGGUAGAAUUAACAACCAGUUAAUAUAUUGAAGGAUAAUAAAUUAACUCAAUCGUAUGUUUACUUAACACUCUAAUAUAGAUUCUCUAUAUGUCAAUUACAUACUUGUAAGAUUUGAAUUUU